rnacentral:rRNA from 1 species
GACGAACGCUGGCGGCGGGCUUAACACAUGCAAGUCGAACGAUGAAGAAGAGCUUGCUCUUCGGAUUAGUGGCGAACGGGUGAGUAACACGUGACUAACCUGCCCCUUUCUCUGGGAUAACGCUCCGAAAGGAGUGCUAAUACCGGAUACUCACAUCGAGGCACAUGCCUUGAUGUGGAAAGUUUUUCGGAAAGGGAUGGAGUCGCGGCCUAUCAGCUUGUUGGUGAGUGAACGGCUCACCAAGGCGACGACGGGUAGCCGGCCGGGUCGGGUGACCGGCAACACGGGGACGGGGGCACGGCCCAGACUCCUACGGGGGGCAGCAGUGGGGAAUAUUGCACAAUGGGCGAAAGCCUGAUGCAGCGACGCCGCGUGAGGGAUGACGGCCUUCGGGUUGUAAACCUCUUUUAGUAGGGAAGAAGCGAAAGUGACGGUACCUGCAGAAAAAGCACCGGCUAACUACGUGCCAGCCGCCGCCAGCG